rnacentral:rRNA from 1 species
GUCUACAGCCAUACCACCCUGAACGUGCCCGAUCUCAUCUGAUCUCGGAAGCUAAGCAGGGUCAGUCCUGGUUAGUACUUGGAUGGGAGACCGCCUGGGAAUACCAGGUGCUGUAGGCU